rnacentral:rRNA from 1 species
GUCAUUGCCAUAGUAAUCCUGGUCAGUAGGAGUGAAACUGCAGGUCCGGACACUUGGUUUGUGUGCUUGGUCGAGAGACCAGUGGUGCAAAGCUACCAUCCAUGAAAUUACGACUCAACGCCUCCGAGUCAGAAUCCCGUCUAAGCAGUGCAAGGAUAUUGUGCGCACUUGCAGCGUUUACAGAUGAAGUCCGUUAUUUGCGAUCGAUUCCCGACUCGACAUCGCCACGUGGGGGGGGGCACCAGUCGUUCACCGAGGUCAUGGUGCAAGCGACGCUUUCAUGCACUCGUUUUACAUGUGAACCACUGCAGUGUCAAAUCGUCUGUAGACAACUUGGGUAGCUGUCAUGGUGUCGUAAUUAGUUGAGCAGCCAUUGCAGUACGAACUUUGAUGAGGCUUUUGCGUCUCAUGAGCCUC